rfam:Pseudomonas denitrificans ATCC 13867, complete genome.
AAAUGUGCAGGGCGGAGAUGCACAACUGUCGGAUUGCGUUGCUUUCAUGCCUUGAACGUAGACGCCUUCAUCGUCCGCAUCCGACAGUCGAUUCCUCCUCCUGAUGAGUGCUUGUUCUUACUCGACAAGCAGGAAACGUAGUCGCGGCACAGCAGAUUUCUCCUGCUGCCGCUGGACACGGGAAUGGUCCGCCAUUCCUGAGUACGUGCCUUAGCACCGACCGUGAGAGUCGUGUGUGCCGAUCGCCGUUUCCGGUGGCCCCGGAAACCAU